UAGCUUUUCCAUUUAUAUAUGGGGCACUGAGACUUGCUCAAGGUCACAUGGAUGAUAAAUGAAAAACUCAGCUUUCGAUGCUAUGAGUCUGGCUGCCUCCCAUGAGAGGUGACUGGGCUUAAGCCAUCUUGAAAGAACUUACCCAAGAUAGCAGCUUGCUGGGGCAAGGGAACCAUUGGCUGUGAGGAUGGAAAGAUGAGUAAGGCUGUCACAGACACCUGGAAGGGAUGGCAUUGCCUAGUGAAUGGGGGGGCCAAGAGAGCGAAAGAAUGAACCACACUGCUCUUCCUACUGGAGGUGUGUGGACUGUGCAUGAGGGCCUGCAUGAAGGAAGUCUUGAGUUAAAUAUAAUAUUAGACCUUGAGUUAAAUAUAUUAGACCAUAAUGCUAAUGACAGAAAGCGCAUCUCAGUUAAUUAUCAUCAGGAUCCAAGAUGCUGACAACACUUGACAUCCAUCCUUCCUUGCCUGAUCUUUGUCUAAAGUCACUGAUUGAUCUAGAGGUUGAACAGAGGGAAAUUUAAAAUACAGCAUUGUUUCACCUUUUUGCCUAUAAAGCUAGUUGGAGAAUAGGGCUUCUAUUGUGCCCCACAGAGCCCUGCUAAAACCUUAUCCCAGAGUUGCCUUGCUUGCCCUGUCACAGCAGUAUUGGACAACUGCUAUUAAGAAAUAAUGCAGAAGACAGGCGAGAGACUUGGGAGCAUCUUUCAGUGAACGUUCUUCUACUUGGAUAUGUGAGGAGUGGAGAAUAAGUUCCUUUAAUAGUAGCCUGGGUGAAGUUGUUCUCAAAACUGAAAAUGACCAGAAAAAGAUGGAAUCUUCCACAAAUAGUGGCAAAAGGCAGAGACAAGAAUGUGGACAGAACAUGUUUGAUCUAAAAAAGCUCUACCUUGAAACCUAGAAAUUCAGCCCAUUCUACAUGAAGGUGACAUUUGCAGACCAGAUCGUUUGUAUUCACUUUCCAGGUGAGGGGAAAACACACAGUCCUAACUUAUUUCUAAGUGUGAACCACAAUCUCUUUUCAUUUAUUUAUCUCACUUCACUAUUUAUGCUAUUUAUGCGUUCCAUCACCCCAGUCCUCCCACUGAUUGCAACAUUAUUCAAGUUAAUUUUCAUAAAUAAAUUAUUCCAACAAAGGAUUAAGUAUAAAUUAGUUGACAUAAUUGUGCAUCAAUUUUGGUAAAUACAGAAUGUGAUGUUAAGUAUUUUAUGCUAACAUAAGCUCUUGGUUUCGCUGAUAAUUAAAAUUUUCUGAAUAAUAACAAAUCGCAUCCUUCUCAUUAUCCUUAAGGUUCCUUUAAGCCCCAUGAAUUUCAAUAGAGAGUGAUGAAGGAAAUGAAAAGUGUUCUUAGCUAGGCUGCUGUGUAGUAUACAACAAAAUAGAAAACACACUCACAGCUUCCUUUCUUAAUGAAAGUAUUUUUCACUUCCAUCAGUAGACAAUUUUUCUGCCUUAAUUUUGAAGGACUUCCCAACACAACAAGAUUGAAUGUAAUCAUUCACAGAAAUUCAACUGCCGAAAAUUGGUAACGCCAUUUUAUUCCAUAAGUCGAAGUAAUUUUGGGGCUCAAAUAACAUCAUAAGGCUAAAGUAAUUUAUUUCAAAGAUGUGUCCAGAGGAAGGAUUCUUGAUCAUUGUCUUCUGUUCCUUUUUCUCCUACAUUGUACAUGUCCCUUUCUUUCUUUCUUUCUUUCUUUCUUUCUUUCUUUCUUUCUUUCUUUCUUUCUUUCUUUCUUUCUUUCUUUCUUUCUUUCUUUCUCUCUCUUUCUUUUCUUCUCCCUUCCUUCCUUCCUUCCUACUUUCUUUCUUUUCUUUCUUUUCCUUGGGCUACACCCAUGGCAUGUGGAAGUUCCCAGGUGAGGGGUCAAAUUGGAGCUGUAGCUGCUGGCCUACACCACAACUCAGAGCAAUGCUGGAUCCUUAAACCACUGAGUAAGGCCAGGUACCGAACCCGCAACCUCAUGGAUGCUAGUCAGGUUUGCUACUGCUGAGCCACAAUGGGAACUCCCUUGCAUGUCCUUUCUUCUCUUCUAUGUUCUCUCCCUCUUCCCCUUUUCAAUUCCAUACCACUUCCUGCCCUUUUUUACUCCUUCAGGAGAUUCAGACUUACUGAGUCCUUAGUUCCCAAGACCCUGGGGAGAGAAUCUUUUCUCAAAGAAUUCCAGCAGAGCCCUUAAAGCCUGGCUCAGGUCACAUCUCUACCAAUGUGAAGUGCCCUGAAAGAUGUGGCUCUGAUGGGUCAGGUCUUUGUUUUAAUCUGAAACUGGAGAGAAGAGAUGAUGAAUCACAAUGAUGAAGCAACAGGAGAGGAUGAGUCCUGAAAGCAUAAGACAUGUUCUCUUAUUAAGAAAAGGAAGCAAUGGAUGCUGGCCCAGACAGAAUAGAGUACCUCUACAGCUCUGUGUGUGUGUGUGAGUGUACACUUAGGGGACAUGCUAGGAAAGCCCUUUCCCAACAUAAAGGUAUAAUAUUUUUUUAUGUUUUUACAAUUAUACUUAAUGCAAUAAACAUUUGGUUUUGGUGUGAAGUAGAGGCAUCUUUUAAAUCUAUUUUAAGAAACAGACAAUUUCCAGAAACUGUUUAUUGAAUAAUUCAUCCUUCCUCAGCUGAUUUUAGUGAACAUGGCUUUUAAAAUCUAAGUUGCCAUGUCUAUGUGCAGAGCAAAUAGAGACCUGAUUGCUUCACUUUUUGCUACAAUGCAUUUCCUGUCAUGAAAGCACAACAGCUUCUCUUGGUAGCCUCCUGGGUUGGCUCAAAUAGCCCCCAGGGAAUGUGUGGUCUCGUGGUCAAGAGCUUAACUUGAGAUCUCUUCUCUCUGCAGACCACUGUCAUGGUAGCCUUUGAAUAACCAAGGACAUUUUUUUGUCUGUGUGUUUCUAAAUCGUUGUUUUAUUUCUUCUUACAUAUAUCCACUAACAUAUAGAUAAUAGAGAUAGGUAGAUAGAUAGAGAUAAAGAGAAAAUUGCAUAAAAUACAUUAAUGCUGUCAUAUACAUGUUUUUAAAUUACUUCAGGAGUUCCCAUCAUGGCACAGCGGAAGUGAAUCCGGCUAGGAACCAUGAGGUUGUGGGUUCAAUCCCUGGCCUCGCUCAGCGGGUUAAGGAUCUGGCAUUGCCGUGAGCUGUGGUAUAGGUUGCAGACAUGGCUCAGAUCUGGUGUUGCUGUGGCUCUGGCGUAGGCUGGUGGCUUCAGCUCCGAUUAGACCCCUAGCCUGGGAACCUCCAUAUGCCACCGUGGAUGCAGUCCUAGAAAAAAAAAGACAAAAAUUAUUUCAAAUUUCCCCCCUUGAGUUGUUGCUCACCAUGGAUUUUGUUUUUUAUACAUUCCAUUUCUUUAUCCAAGGAGUAUUAAAAAUAAUUGAAUAAUUGAAAAACACUUUUCUAAUCAAUUUAAAAUUGACAUAAACAUAAGUUUUUGUGCCAACUCUGACAGAUAAUAUAAAUUGAGAGCAAAGAUAUUUCCUUUAGCUUUUUUAAGACAUCAGAAAUUAGAUUGAUUUAAAAUAUAAAUAUUAGGUAGCUGUUCUAUGGUGGAAAUAGUGGUAGAUAUGAAGUCAGCACAUUCCUAUUCAUUAUCUGCUCGGCAUUGGGCCAGUUGCCUAACUUCUAAGCAAUGGUUUCCUCAUCCCUAAAAUAAAGGGAAUACUAUGGCUUAUAAGGUUAUUUUAAAGAUUAAAUAAGAUUUAUUGAACUCCAUUAUCAAUUUGGAAGUAUGCUAACUUGCUGAAUCAGUGUUUAAUUAGUUGUGACUCAUCUUUAAAGCCACCAAAUUGCUCUCACAUACUGCCAUAGCCAAACCCUCUCAACAUAGGAGACAACUUAGUAUUACUUAGUCAUGUCAAUAAAACACUCCCCACAUCUCUUCUAGAACUGUCUCUCAUGCUGCUCAAAUCCAAAUCCACGAAUUCCAAAAAUUAAUAAAGGACAAAUAAAUUGAAAAAAUUGUAACUGUUUGACUCCAAGCCUUGCUGUCUUUUGCUGUCUUUGAAGAAAUGGGCAGCCACGUUGGAAAAGCCUACACGCAGGGAACUCUAGGCAGUGGUUUGAAGCUAAGGGCAGUCCCUGUACUACAAAGAACAAGAAGGUGAAGCCCUUGGUCCAGCAGCUACAAGGAAAUGAAUUCUACCAACAACCUGAGAGAGUUUGGAAGUAGCUCCUCCCCCAGUUGAGCCUCUGAUGAGACCAUAGCCCCAGUUAACAUCUUGAUUUUAGCCUUGUCAGAAGCAGGUGACACAGCUAAGCCAUGAUUGAAUUCCAGACCCACAGAAACUAUAGAUACUAUUUACAGAAAUUAUGCAUAGUAAAUAAGGAUUGUUUUAAGCUGCUAUGUUUGUGGUUAUUGAUUAUGCAUCAGUAGAUAACUGGUACUUUUUUUUUUCGAAAUUUUUCACCAGACCAUAUACUCGCUAUGGGCAUCUGAGAAGCCAGUGAGUAAGGAAUGAUCUUAAUCCAUUAUAUAAUGAAAAUAGUUGAAAUCAAGGGAUAAAUAAUAAGGUAACAUUUAAGAGCCAAGGAUACAGUAGAAACUAUAUGAAUCAUUGGUCUGGGAUUCAGGUUCUAGUUUCUGAGCACAAUUUGGACAUUUCUUGUUAUUCUAAUCCUUGUACCUUCCCCCUCACUAUCUGCGUAAUUUAAAAAUCAAAUGUCUGAACUAAAUUCAUUUUAAGUUCCAUUGUAGCUAUAGAUUUAUCAAGGGUUUUAAAAUUAUAGUCUAAGUGUUGCAGUUUUAUUACCUCUAGUUAACCAUUAAAUAGACUUCAUGUUUAUUUUGGAAUUCCAGACAUUCAUAAACACUCAGGUGGGAUUAAAAAGGCUUUAUUUAAUGACCAAAGAGAGCACAUUAACUUUCACUGCAUACCAGAUGAUUAAUUUACAUAGUAUUUUUUUUUUAUUAUCUCAUCUGUUUUGUUAAGCUGGGAGAUCUACCAUCAGGAAUAUGACAAUUUGGAUACAGAGCAUUAAGUAUAAACAGAUGUUCUCAACUCAUUACUGUUUUAAAGUAAAGUGAUUUCUUUUCUUUCCAAGCUGAAAAUGAAAUAUUAGAUCUUUAUACAUUCCUGGUCCACACAC
rnacentral:lncRNA from 1 species